UGAAUCCGAGUCGUUGUUGUGCCCGAUCGUGAAUUGGAGUAAUUUGAAAGCUUUACAAAAUAGGCUAGAAGAAAAGGAAUUAUUUAGGCUCAAUAAAGUUUUGUUGGUUUAGGAAAUGAAACAUAAAUCAAUGGAUGAAGUUUGGGCUAAGUAUUCAAAAGCUGAACUAACACAAUAAGAGUGUGUUAACCCGUAACUUAGGAGAAUGCUUAGGUUGGUAGGGUGUUGAUGGAAGGUUUGUUAAGUGGAUAGAAACUUCGACCCGCUAUCAAAAAUGAUAGGAACCUCAGUACGAAU
rnacentral:lncRNA from 1 species